AUACAGUCGCCACGGUAACAGUAACAACAACUGUAGCAGCAACAGAUGCCAGUCCACCUCUCAACAACCAAAAGUUAAUGAUUUCAGCCUUCAGACACACUUUUGAUAUCACAAUUAAAAGGAAAAAAUGGCAUCUAAUUUACAGGCACAACACGAGACGCAGAGCGGAGUUUACACGUUUUCCAGCCGUCCUCGUGCGGUUCCCAACCGCACCAAAUACAGACAAACCGAUCCGCUGCUAAAUGAAGAACAGAGCAGUUAUGGAAAUAUCAUGUAUGACCGACGUGUUGUCAGAGGAAAUACAUAUGCUCAACAUAUCCUACCCAUUACAUCUCAGCCAGAUCCAGUCGAGUUCCUGAAACAGCAGGAGGCCAGAAGAAGAGCUAUGUCCAGAAAAAGGCUGAAGGAGCAGUUUGGCCCGAAAACACCAGAACCACUAGAGGGCAGAAAGAACAUAGAUUUGCAGACAGAGAUGUAUCUGGAAGAGCUGAGCGAUCGUAUAGAGGAAGUCAGUGUGGAGUGCCAAACGGACAUGUUCCUGGACAAACCAGACACUCCCCUCUUCAUCCCAGCCAAAACCGGACGAGAUGCAGCCACACAGAUAGAAGAGGGAGAGCUAUUUGAUUUUGACGUGGAGGUCCAGCCCGUGCUGCAGGUGUUGGUGGGGAAGACAAUAGAGCAAGCAUUGCUGGAAGUGCUGGAGGAGGAAGAGCUGGCCAACCUGAGGGCCCAGCAGCAGACAUUCAAGGAGAUCCGUGAUGCUGAGCUGGUGGAGGUGCAGAGGCUAGAGGAGAGGGAACGCCGUCUUCGUGUGGAGAAGGAGAACCGGAUAAAGCAGCAAAAGGCAGUACUGGAAAAAGAGAAGGAGACAGCAGAUAAAAUUGCUGCGAGAGCAUUUGCUCAACAGUACUUGUCUGACUUGUUGCCCUCAGUCUAUUCCAAUCUGAGAGAUUGUGGCUACUUCUAUGACCCUGUGCAGAGAGAUAUAGAGACCGAAAUUCCUCCCUUGGCUGAUGCAAGAGGUCAGCAAUGCUUUAGAACAGAAAUAUGUAGCAAGAACAGUGCUUGACAUGCUCAUUCAAGACGUCACUAACCAAAGAUUUGAGGCCUUUCAGGUUCAAGAAUAAACUCCUUUAUGCGAUUAGAGGUCAUACCAGGAAACCAGAAAGACGCUGGAAAAUAUUCAAGGGUUCACGCAUUCUUUAUAAAAAUCUAAUUAAUUUUAAUAUUAUUAUAAAUAUAUUAUUCAUAUAUUAUUUGAAUAAAAUUCCGAAAAGAGGGCAAAA